GUGACUUGCCCUGUUUCACACAACCAGUCUGUGUCAAAGGCAGGAGUUGUAACCAGGUCUUCUGGUUGUCUGACCCUGGGCAAGUCACUUAACCCUAUUUGACUUAGUUUCCCCAUCUGUAAAAUGAGCCAGAGAAGGAAAUGGAUAAACUAUGCCAGUGUCUUUGCCAAGAAAGCCUCAUGUGGAAAGCCCAACAUGAUGGAAAAUUGACCGUACAAUUUCCUGACUCCAAGACCAACUUUUAAUCUUUUACAUCAUGCUGCCUCUCGUCCAUGCAUACAUAUGUAGGUAUGUUUGUAUAUAUAUACAUAGAUGUGUUUGUGUCCCUCUCUAAAAUUAUUGCCCAUUCUAGUGCCAGAAAUUCUCAUCAAAGAACUAAGUCAUGAGUUUCAGUGUCUGUGAGCUUCCAGUUACCAAAAGCAAUUGAUUUCCUAAGUCUACUUUCUUCCUCACAUAAAAUCACUCCCAUUCUGUUAAGGUGGUAUCCAGAUGAACUAUGCAAGAUUUGCCUGUAUCUCUCAUGGAAAGUAGUCACCAUAUUUGUUGAAUCACGAAAUCCAAGAAUUAGGAAGGACUUCAAAGAGCCUCUCGUUUAAUCCAUACCUGAAAUAAUCUCAAUGACAACAUGUUUGGUAAAACAAACAAACAAAAAACAUCAAAGGUCCUAAAGCAGCAGCUAGACCUACCUGACUAUGGACCAGUAUGAGGAAUGCAGACAUCCUAGCUGUGUCUCUCAAAAUGUCAACAAUCAGGGCUCCAGAGACACACAAGGGAACUCAAAGGGAUAACAAGCAGCUGGAACCAAGUUUUAAAGGAUCUUUGCCAUUCAGCCACACCGCCAACCCUAUGAUCGAGAAGACUGUGCCAGGGAAGUGCCAGCAAGGGCUGGAAGGUUGUCAAGCUGGAAAGUCUUUGAUUAUGGACCCCCCAACCGAGUGCAUCUACUUAAGGACAAGUUUUACUCUCUCCAGAGAGGAGGCUCAGUACCAGAAGGCAGGAAAAAUAGAGGGAAGAAUAUGCCCAGAUCCGGUCCUACUUUUAGUACUCAGUGCACCGUCUCUAACAUUAUCCAUUACUCUCACAAGGAUUAUCAAGAAUUACCUCUUUUAGAAGAAACAAAAUAACUAAUGACAAAGAAUUGUACCGCUACUUGAAAGUAGAUCAUUCUCAUUUCCAAUUAUAGUUCAACAGUGUAAUAUUUUGCUUUUUCUUUCUUUUAGAUCUGUUCUGAUUUUAUUAUUUAUUGCUUAAUUAAGUUAGAGUCCAAAGCUAAGUUUAGCCAAUUUAAAAUUAAGAUUAAAAAUAAUAUAAAAUAAAUAAUAUAAAAAUAAUAUAAAAUAAAAUUAA
rnacentral:lncRNA from 1 species